AAUGUACCCUGUUUUCGUUACAGCCGUAGGAGUGCCUGUGCAUCACUUUAAAUCUUCCCCCUCCAAACUAAGCUCUGCUGGAAAGAACCGGCUGCCAGUAGGUGGCAGACUGCGGUCUGGUGGGAAUAUGCACAUUUUCUUUUAUCUCUGGAGGAGAGAGAAAGAAGAAGUUGGCGCCAACAGCCACACUUUGCCUCCUUUUUUGGCGUACCUCACAGUUCCAAGCUGGCAAAAACCACUGGAUUACAAGAGUGUCUUUGGAAUAAAAUCGCCAUACUUUCUACUGUUGUAAGGUUGCAAGAGCUAUGCCUUUAAGAAGAAGGUACAACACAGCCAACCAGGUACAUCCAUCUGUGAGUGCUGAUGGCAGUGCUGGAUCUGCACAGGUGGAACAACUUGACAAUGUAGAGGGUAAAGGAGAAACGCCAGGAACUCCAUCUACGUUGGCUCCAACUGCUACAGCAAUAAUUCAGCAGCUAAGAGACAAAAUUACUGUCCUUGAAGAUGAAAGAAAUUUCCUCAGAGAACAGCUGAAAAAAGCACUGGAUAACAUCCCUACUAC